AGUUGGCCAUCCAGAAGUUCAAUACACAAGUACCAAUUAAUAAGGUUACAGAAUGGCCGCCAGAUGUGUUAAAAAUUUGUUCAUACAUAUGAACAUGGACGAUUACUUGACACAUGAAUGCAUCUUGUCGCACCAUGCCUCUCCUACUCGCUCGCAGGCGCCCCCGGACCAGUUCAUCAUGAAUCGCCAAAGGACAGGGGUCCGACACUCAAAGCAUCAGAGCAACCAAAUUGAUGGUGAUUAACUGAUGAAACAUGAUUGUUCCUUUUCCCUAUCCAAUAUGGAUGCGGUGAGUUGUUGAUUCAUAUCAAGUACAUUGUUUAAGUAAAAGAAAACAUGUGUUUGCAAGGUGAAAUCAAAUGUAGCAGCAUUUGGCAUUUUUUAAUGGUUUGGAACUUUGGAGCCCUGCAAGAGUUGGUCAUCAUUCUUGGAUCAAGGUAUGUUUGUGAUGCCUAGCUUCGUAAAUUUACUCUUUUUUUGUCUAAUUGGACGAUGUGGGAUGAUAAUUGUUGCCUUGGCAUUAUCUCUUCAUGGAAGAAGUGAAGUGAUGGAUGUUUACUGAGAGUUCAAGGUCACUUGCUGGGAAGUUAUGUUCCUUAAACCCACCGAUAGACGCUCGGGAGCACCAACCGUAGGCCUCGGAGUGGCUUGGCCUCUGAUAAAAAAAGACCCCAUGCUUCUCAUGGCUGCUCGCACAUGUUUAAAUCUAUUAUAUGGGCAAUAAUUGAGUGUUUGUUUAGUGAGUACAGAAUUUAGUUAUGACAUUUAACAUUAUACUUUUUUUGCAUAAUUUGGUCAUAAUAAUAAAGUUAGUCACUCAAUUUGCUUCAUGACAAUGCAAGGGCCAUACAAUGCAUUGGUAAAUUCAAUUUCGUUUCCUAGAUGUUUUCUAGUUAUGGUAUAGAUGUUUGCAUGUAU